rnacentral:rRNA from 1 species
UUAUAAGAGACAGCAGUCGCCUCGGGAAUACAGAGGGUGCGAGCGUUAAUCGGAUUUACUGGGCGUAAAGCGUGCGUAGGCGGCUUUUUAAGUCGGAUGUGAAAUCCCUGAGCUUAACUUAGGAAUUGCAUUCGAUACUGGGAAGCUAGAGUAUGGGAGAGGAUGGUAGAAUUCCAGGUGUAGCGGUGAAAUGCGUAGAGAUCUGGAGGAAUACCGAUGGCGAAGGCAGCCAUCUGGCCUAAUACUGACGCUGAGGUACGAAAGCAUGAGGAGCAAACAGGAUUAGAUACCCCAGUAGUCCCUGUCUCUUAUAC